rnacentral:tRNA from 1 species
GGUUGUGGCUCAGUGGUGGAGCGCUUGCCUAGCACGCGUGAGGUGCUGGGUUCCAGCCUCAGCACCA